AUAUAUACAUGAAAAUGUUGAAAUCUUUGAUGAAACAACAAUAAUUAUUCAAACUUGUGCCGUGAACGAAUCAUGUCAUCUUUCGUAUAUUCUUUAAUAAUAAUUUCCUAACACCUGCAUAGCAAAAUAUGGGUUCGCUCGUUGACACAACAGUCUUCUAAAUCUUAUUUCACUUUAAUAUGAUUAGUGCUCGCACGUACUUCUACUUGGUUUGCUAAGGUAAAUAAUCAAAAAAGUCAUUUAAAAAUUUUUUUAAGUAACGUUAAUAAAAAAUUGAAAAAAGAAACGCAUUUGACAAAUAAGCAACGUAUGUAAAUCAUUUUUGCAAACUCGGCUUGAAACUGAGCAGCAUUCGUUCCGCGUUUACAUUUGCAAAUUCCUUGUGUAAAAAAGACCGCACCCUGUACAUCAAAAUCCAUUAAAAGUUUCGGAUAAACGCGAAAGAUUAAUAUUUUUCAAAGAAAAAUAACUCUCUUGCACACUUGCAAGCAAUUACAUAAAUAUU